ACCUGCACAUAUCAUGUGCUAUGGGUAUGCUCAGCUCUGCAGUUAGCUGAAGAAUGACUUUUAAAUCAGAAAACUGCAGAAAUUCAGACCCAUUCACGGAUAUCCUGCAAACAAAAAAGGGAACUGUAAUCGCUGAAAGUAUUAUGUUGAGCCACACAGACCUGCUUCACUUGAUGGGGAUGCUUUGUUUUUGAGCCAGGCCUGUCCAGAGGGGUGGAUGAAGCUCUCUCCAUGCAAACAUCCUCAUGGGGGAGUAGGACAUGGGGCUGAGGCCAGAAGGCAAAGAGCACCUCACCAGCUUCAAGCAGAACCACAGUACUGAUGGCACCAAAAGGACUGCAAACUCCUGACUUGGUCCAGCAACAUGUGUAGUUAACAGAGGCCUACAAAGAUGUUUUCAUCAGGCAGUUCCAAUGGCAGUCUUGGAAAUGCUUUUGCCAUUUGUCUUAUAAACAUCAGUCUUUGAAGAAAAAGAACAACACUGGGAAGCAAGACCAUGUCGGACCUACCAAAACCGUGUUCUCUCUGAGUACCAGUAAGCAGCCUCGAUGCAGACUCUGAUGCUGAGUAAAGCUUGUCUAGACACAAAAUUAGAUCAGGUCAAAAAGACUACUGUAUUUCUGCUCUCUUCUGUUUAUAUGGCUCAUAUCAACACAGUAUUUUAGUAUGUGAUAGCUAUUUAUGUAUUUAACAGUUGUUAAACAGCUGUGCAAAGCACUGUCUGGAUAUUUUUAUUUUAGUUUAAAACUGAGUCAAAAUACAGUUAUAUGUAUAGUAUGAUUUAAGAGCAACCUAAAUGGACCAAAUUUAAACUGAAGUAAGUACACAUCCAAGCUUUUUGGUAAGGUUUAGUUUUAUUAGUUUAAAAUCACACCUUAAUUUAAACCAUACCCGCAUCCUGAGUCCAGUCUUCACCGGUAUUUAAAUAGCCUUUUUUUCCCACCGCACCUAAUAGUAGGAAACUGAGGUUUGGAGCUGCAGGGCAGGUUGGCUGUGGUAGAAGAAGGCGUUAACACAGGAUCUCUCUCAAAUCUCAACCCUUGCACCAGCCCUCUUGAAGGGGAAAGAGUGGCCAUGAACCCAUCACCCCAUAGCUAAAGGUAACCCCGAGGUUUUUGAAGGGACUUUCUCGGCUCCCAGUGAGGGAAUUAAAAAUGUCAUUACCUACCUAAUGAAAAUGACCUUGUUGUCAAACACUCAUACAUGCACAGAUAUAAUAAAACAUGAUAUUCAGGGAAGGAAAGAGUAUUCCUCCUCCUCCUCCUUCUGUUGGUUUCCACAUCUGUUUUUGUUUGAAGUUUCAUCUGGUUAUCUGGAUUGCUGGUCUUUUUUAGACUGAAGGGGUCUAAGUAAAAAAGCCACCCUUAUUUUCAGUGGCCAUUUUUAAUAGAAAGUUCCAUGUGACAAAGAUAAUCAAAGAGCAGGGGUAGCAAGACAGCUCUGGGUGAGGGAUGUAGGAGGGGAAUUACAACCUGAUAACACUGCAGUAAAUUGUUUCUUAAUAUUUAUUGCACUGUGUUGCUCAAGGGCCUGGAUGGCUUUCAGAGAGAGAGCACAUCAGCAACAGCAGUGGGGUUUUGUGGCUGGUGGGCAGUGAGGAGGACAGUUAUUUCAUAUUUUAGUGACUAACCAAAUGUCAAUCAGACCCAGCACUGGUGAAAAUGUUUCCAAGGAACAAAUGAGCAUCUUUGGGCCUCUAGCAGUUUGUUUACAUACCAAUAAAUAAGCACUUGCUCCUAGCCAGAGAGAUCUGAAGGGUUUUCAAAUGCAGAAGGCAGAAGCCUAGGACUUCUAAUGCAAGUACACAUUGCUGAUAGCCUUGAGGUGAGCUAUCUUGCUGGUCUGCACUCAGCUUCAAGGUUCCCCUGGGAUCCUAUAUGUCUAUAUGGGACAUUUCACAGCAAGGCACACACUUCCCCUCUUGUCCUCUGUGCACCAUCCCUCCUAAGGCUCUGUUUCUGCUUGUCUACACCUUCAGAAAAAAAAAAAAAUAAUAAAAAAAAAAAAACAGAGUUGUGGUUUUCUUCCACCUGUAGUUGCCCUACAACUUAAGGCAGUAACCACUCCUCACCGUCACAUCCUCUUGGCCUAUGAAGAUGUUCCAUGCCUGCAAGCUUCUCCUCACCAGUCAGACAGCUAAAGACCUUCCUCCAAACAUGGGACACAAAAUAG